rnacentral:rRNA from 1 species
UACGGAGGGUGCAAGCGUUGUCCGGAAUCAUUGGGCGUAAAGGGCGCGUAGGUGGCGGCUUAAGCGUGCGGUGAAAGCUCGGGGCUCAACCCCGAGUCGGCCGUGCGAACUGAGUCGCUUGAGCACUGUAGAGGCAGGCGGAAUUCCGGGUGUAGCGGUGGAAUGCGUAGAGAUCCGGAAGAACACCGGUGGCGAAGGCGGCCUGCUGGGCAGUAGCUGACACUGAGGCGCGACAGCGUGGGGAGCAAACAGG